GUAGCGGCUCCCCAGGGGAACAGUAUGUAAGGAGCUCGUGGCACGCUGGAGCCAGCAGUUUGCCUGUGAUCAUCCUUGCAAGCAUCAGUGCACUGGCCAUACGUACAGAAAUGCAUCUGCCACCUGCACCCCAGGUGGAGAAAGGAUGACAGCAGCGGUCAGUGGUGAUGUGACAUGGGGCAUGAAGGGAUCCAGACAGCCUGAAGAUCUUUGACUCAGAUUUUCUUGUUUUCCAGGUCUGAAUCUGUCUGAAUUCCUAACUGCUCUGUGUGAAGCCUCUCAAGCUGUGUAAACAGUAAUGCAAUAAUGGCAGAUCACAAUGCGCGCGUGCCAGACCGUGAAGAAUAGUUUAGGAGCCAAGCAAUAUGCUCUCUCUAAGUGACAAAAUGCUCCUUGCAGACGGGAAUAUUAAUCAACCCAGGAACUGACAGGAUCUGAUGGAAGAGACUGUUAUUAACAUUAUCUCCCUUGGAAGCAUUUGCAAUGGAUAUUUUCCCAUAGAGGCACAAAGACAGCACUACUCUGCUUGAUGAAAGAAUGAAGAGACAAGGUGAUUUGGGCUGGUAGUGUGCUGGAGGAAUUACAGCAACUUGAGUCAGGUUUGCACUUUGCUUUCCACUCCACUGGCCAAGCCAGCCAGAUGUGCAGCAGCAGCAGGAUGGGCACGAGGGCCCCAGCUGCUGCGGUGAAUCCGUCAGCACGGACGCUGGUGCCGCUGCAGCCUGGCCCUGCAGCCUGGCAGGGUGAUCUCCUUUGGCUCAGCUCCUGUGGGCUCCAGAGCUCUUCUCCCUGGGUGCUCUUUCUGCUGCAGAACAAAGAAGGAGCCACACCAAGUAGCAGAAUGUGCCACACGUGCCCUUCCUUUCUCCUCAAGGAGUUACUUGAAAGAGGCCAGCGCCAGCCUUGCUCCAACCUGCUUUCAUCUGGCUGUGGAGCUGCUGCUGAAUGAAUGUCUCCUUACUCAUGAUUCUUUCACAGGCUCUGACCCUCUUCUAGUGUUUGUUAUUGUGGAGUUGCUUCUUUGCAUUGUCUUUUUUUAGGCAGGACACAGACACUGCCCUGGUAAGAGGGGGAAAGGAAGGAAAGAGAAGGGAAAUGGAAAGGAAAUGGGAAGUGAAGAAAAGAGAAGGGAAAGGGAAUGGAUGGGAAAAGGAAAAGGAAAGAGCAAGCUGGAGGGCAGGAAGGCUGUGCAAAGGAAAUCUGGACAGGCUGCAUGGAUGGACCAAGAGUUCUCUUCAUUGCCUUGUGGCAGCACAAACCAAUCAGGGCUGGAGAAAGGGAACACUUAGCUCUGAGCAUGAAACUUUGGUGUCUGACUUCUUUCAAAGGGUGAGCAGAAGGAGGCAGAAGAGAAACUGGAAAGCGGGAGGAGUGCCUGCCAGCCCCUCAGGCAGUGCUGCCAUUCAGGCAGGCCUGGCCAGGGUGGAGAGUUGGGUGGGGAGAAAUGGAAUAAAAUGCGAGGAGGACAGCUGUAGAGUCUUGCAGCUGGGAAAGAAGCAGCCCAGGGAGCAGGAUAGGCUGGGGGCUGGGGGCCCUGGUGAACAGAAGGAUGCCCAUGAGCCAACAAUGUGCCCUUUGUGGCCAAGAAGGCCAGUGCCAUCCUGGAAUGGAUUAGAAGGGCUCCCAGGAACUGCAGAAUCUCAUCCAAGUGCUCCCACUAACACUGUGCACUGCCAGCCCCUCCUCGUGCUCCCAGCGUGGCUCCAGUGUCCACUCAGUGCCCCAAGCGACCCCCAACUUCCCAAGCCUCUUAGUUAUCCCUGU